rnacentral:rRNA from 1 species
UACGAAGGGGGCUAGCGUUGCUCGGAAUCACUGGGCGUAAAGGGUGCGUAGGCGGGUUUUUAAGUCAGGGGUGAAAUCCUGGAGCUCAACUCCAGAACUGCCUUUGAUACUGAAGAUCUUGAGUUCGGGAGAGGUGAGUGGAACUGCGAGUGUAGAGGUGAAAUUCGUAGAUAUUCGCAAGAACACCGGUGGCGAAGGCGGCCUUCUGGACAGUGACUGACGCUGAGACGCGAAAGCGU